rnacentral:rRNA from 1 species
UACAGAGGGGGCAAGCGUUGUUCGGAAUUACUGGGCGUAAAGGGCGCGUAGGCGGCCGCCUAAGUCAGACGUGAAAUCCCUCGGCUCAACCGGGGAACUGCGUCUGAGACUGGCGAGCUUGAGGGCAGGAGAGGAACGCGGAAUUCCAGGUGUAGCGGUGAAAUGCGUAGAUAUCUGGAGGAACACCGGUGGCGAAGGCGGCGUUCUGGACUGCAUCUGACACUGAAAGACGAAAGCCAGGGGAGCAAACGGG